UACGUAGGGGGCGAGCGUUGUCCGGAAUUACUGGGCGUAAAGGGUGAGUAGGCGGUUUGUUAAGUUGGAUGUGAAAUACCCGGGCUUAACCCGGGGGGUGCAUUCAAAACUGGCAGACUAGAGUAUCGGAGAGGAAAGCGGAAUUCCUGGUGUAGCGGUGAAAUGCGUAGAUAUCAGGAGGAACACCGGUGGCGAAGGCGGCUUUCUGGACGACAACUGACGCUGAGGCACGAAAGCGUGGGGAG
rnacentral:rRNA from 1 species